rnacentral:tRNA from 1 species
GGGGUUGUAGCUCAGUGGUAGAGCACUUGCCUUGCAUGCAUGAGGAAUUGGGUUUGAUCCUCAGUAUCA